rnacentral:tRNA from 1 species
AAGAUAAAGCUGAAUUUUAGCAUUUCACUUACGUUGAAAAGGUUUGUCGCAGGUAGACUUAUUUUGAU